rnacentral:rRNA from 1 species
GACGAACGCUGGCGGCGUGCUUAACACAUGCAAGUCGAACGGAAAGACCCUGCUUUUGUGGGGUGCUCGAGUGGCGAACGGGUGAGUAACACGUGAGUAACCUGCCCUUGACUUUGGGAUAACUUCAGGAAACUGGGGCUAAUACCGGAUAGGAGCUCCUGCUGCAUGGUGGGGGUUGGAAAGUUUCGGCGGUUGGGGAUGGACUCGCGGCUUAUCAGCUUGGUGGUGGGGUAGUGGCUUACCAAGGCUUUGACGGGUAGCCGGCCUGAGCGGGUGACCGGCCACAUUGGGACUGAGAUACGGCCCAGACUCCUACGGGAGGCAGCAGUGGGGAAUAUUGCACAAUGGGCGGAAGCCUGAUGCAGCAACGCCGCGUGCGGGAUGACGGCCUUCGGGUUGUAAACCGCUUUCGCCUGUGACGAAGCGUGAGUGACGGUAAUGGGUAAAGAAGCACCGGCUAACUACGUG